rnacentral:rRNA from 1 species
ACCAUCUGAGGGAUUAUUACUGAACAGCUCUAAGUCAGAAUCCUACCCAGGC